rnacentral:rRNA from 1 species
CAGCCGCCGCGGUAAUACGAAGGGUGCAAGCGUUACUCGGAAUUACUGGGCGUAAAGCGUGCGUAGGUGGUGGUUUAAGUCCGUUGUGAAAGCCCUGGGCUCAACCUGGGAAUUGCAGUGGAUACUGGGUCACUAGAGUGUGGUAGAGGAUAGUGGAAUUUCCGGUGUAGCAGUGAAAUGCGUAGAGAUCGGAAGGAACAUCUGUGGCGAAGGCGACUAUCUGGGCCAACACUGACACUGAGGCACGAAAGCGUGGGGAGCAAACAGGAUUAGAUACCCCCGUAGUCCCAGUCUCUUAUAC